GACGAACGCUGGCGGCGUGCCUCAAACAUGCAAGUCGAGCGUGGGCAGGUUGCCUCGCAAGAGGCGAUCUGCUCUAGCGGCGAACGGGUGCGUAACACGUGGGGAACCAACCCUCCAAAUGGGGACAACCUCGGGAAACCGGGGCUAAUACCGAAUACGCUUGCCGGGUCGCAUGGCCUGGCAAGGAAAGGAUCGCAAGAUCGCUGGAGGACGGUCCCGCGGCCUAUCAGCUAGUUGGUGAGGUAACGGCCCACCAAGGCGAUGACGGGUAGCUGGCCUGAGAGGGUGGUCAGCCACACUGGAACUGAGACACGGUCCAGACUCCUACGGGAGGCAGCAGUUGGGAAUUUUGGGCAAUGGGCGCAAGCCUGACCCAGCGACGCCGCGUGGGGGAUGAAGGCCUUCGGGUUGUAAACCCCUGUCAGGAGGGACGAAGCCGCAAGGUGACGGUACCUCCAGAGGAAGCCCCGGCUAACUACGUGCCAGCCGCCGCCGUAAAAC
rnacentral:rRNA from 1 species